CGACAGCUGCCAAACGAGAGGACUUUAAGCUGCGGUUAAGCACUGAUUUCCCUUCCUAGGGGCCUAGCGUGAAAUGGGAGGGAACUAGCCAAGAGAGAGGAGGUGUAGCCCAUUUUAGAGAUGGGGACACUGAGGCCCGGCAGGAUUCACGUGUGGUAAACUACCCAAGGACGGCAGAGAAGAGGGAAUACAUGCUCCCAGACAGGGUGGGCAAGGAGCCCUAAGCUCUAGGACCUAUGCCAGUGCCUGGAACAGAGUAGGCAUCCAGAAAUGAACAUCGAUCCCCCAGGCAGGUCAUAGCUUUAGAAAGGGGCAGGAUGGCAGUGGUGGUGGAUACUAAUCAUUUCAUUGUUGCUUGUUUAAGUCAACAGAACUAUUUCUUCAAUUAGAGUGCCUCCUAAAGAUAUUGUUUAUGCAAGCUGGAAGACAAAGUUAAGACCU